ACCUGCUGCUAGUGUCCCUCUUCACUCGUUCUUUCUAUGAAAGGGGAAGGCAGCACUCGCAGAAGAUUUUCCAAGAAUGCAAUGUCGACUGGUGCUCGUAAUAAGAAGGGAGAAAUCAAAGUCCGCUCUUGAAUCACGCCUGAGUCUUAGAAAAUUAUUUCAGAAUACGCUUGUGUAGAUUUCCUGCCAGUGCCACUGACAUCUCGCGACCUUCAAAUAUAACUUGCUCGAUCAUCUCCCGCACUGACUGGUAAAUUCGUCGGGUAGCUGUGGAUGGAUCGAUUCAGGGAGGUCGAAGCAAUUCGUACUUCAAUACGCUGUUGAAUUGUAUCCUCUGCUUGGGAGUCUCGACUGUUUUAUUGCUGCAUGGCUUUCCUCAACACCGUUCACUGUACAUGCAUCGCGGAACGCAGAUUGGAUGGCAUUGGAGGUGAAUUUGAUAAUUUGUGACUGUGUCAUCAACCAAUUGAGGACAUCAAAUAUCAACAGGGACGUUCCGAAAAUCACAAACGCUGCGAAAUAGGUAUGAAAUGGUCUUACACACUGGUGGGUAUUCCACAUUCAUUGUGUCAUAUCUUUAGACUGUUCGAAAGUUUGUCGUGCCGUGCAACUUUCACAGACUAAUCCGAUAAUUGGCAUGUGGCCCUAUCGGCACACACUCAUGCGUAUGCCGCUGAGUCUAUCUAUAUGUGCACGCACAUGUGUGUAUACUUACACAAUUUUAUUACGUGUGCAAAAUUAGGCAAUCUACAUGUACAUAUAUAUAUAUAUAUGUGUGUGUGUGCACUCACUCCUAUGACAUAGAACGACAGUGCAGGCUAUGUAGAGUCGCACGAAUGUGUGUUACCCGGGUGUGUAUAUGCAUGCGCACUCGCGCGGGCGUUUUGUGUGCGCGCCUGGCAUGGCAUAACGCCGUUCAAUAUGACUAGUGUUGAACCGUGGUAAUUUGCCCCACCCCUUCUUUUUUCUAUUGGCGUUGGAUAUGCAACUAAUGACAUAAACUCG